GGAAUUCAUGGACAAUGUAUUCCAGGAGAAGCAAACAGCAGAGGGCUUCAACUUAUGAAGAAAAAGGCGGCUCAGCAGUUCAUCAUAAGUUGAAGACGUAGCAUUUAUAAGCGAGUAAAUUGAGUCUUUGACUUACUCCCUGCAAAUGGAACUGUCUCACAAAGCGGCACCUCUUUCACGCCAAACGCGUCAUUCUUCGUGACCGAACACUUAGGUUUCCAACAGCAGAACUCGGUGCCUGCGGUGCUGACCACCCUGGCUCAUUCCCGACCGUCGCAUGCAACUGAAGCUUGUGAUGCUCAGACUCAACUUGUCAUUUCUGUUUCAAGUGGAUGAAAACUAUUUACGCAUGCGUUCCGGAGCCACGCCGUCUUAUUUACUCCUUUCUGUGGUCAUGUAUGGAUGUGAGAGUUGGACUGUGAAGAAAGCUGAGCACCGAAGAAUUGAUGCUUUUGAACUGUGGUGUUGGAGAAGACUCUUGAGAGUCCCUUGGACUGCAAGGAGAUCCAACCAGUCCAUUCUGAAGAUCAACUCUGG
ensembl:lncRNA